AUUGAACGCUGGCGGCAGGCUUAACACAUGCAAGUCGAGCGGGGUGAUGGUGCUUGCACUAUCACUUAGCGGCGGACGGGUGAGUAAUGCUUAGGAAUCUGCCUAUUAGUGGGGGACAACAUCUCGAAAGGGAUGCUAAUACCGCAUACGUCCUACGGGAGAAAGCAGGGGAUCACUUGUGACCUUGCGCUAAUAGAUGAGCCUAAGUCGGAUUAGCUAGUUGGUGGGGUAAAGGCCUACCAAGGCGACGAUCUGUAGCGGGUCUGAGAGGAUGAUCCGCCACACUGGGACUGAGACACGGCAGACUCCUACGGGAGGCAGCAGUGGGGAAUAUUGGACAAUGGGGGGAACCCUGAUCCAGCCAUGCCGCGUGUGUGAAGAAGGCCUUAUGGUUGUAAAGCACUUUAAGCGAGGAGGAGGCUCUUUUGGUUAAUACCCAAGAUGAGUGGACGUUACUCGCAGAAUAAGCACCGGCUAACUCUGUGCCAGCAGCCGCGGUAA
rnacentral:rRNA from 1 species